UUCUUUGAAGCUUCUUCUCCUUCUUCUACCGCUCCGUAUUUUGCAGUAAAAAGUAGUUUGGGAUGAUUGGAUGGAAAAUUCCGCAGUUCCUGCCCGUGUUACUGAAUAAUUGGUAGGAAAGUGAAAACAACGUACGUUUUUAGUGACUAUUGGUUAGAAUAUCUUCAAAAGGCCGUGUAAAUCUCGAUAAUUGCUCUCACUCCUCCUUUUGCUCCUUCCAUGCUGCACCUGGGUCGCGCUUGGUGGCUCAGUUCCUCUGAUAAGACUCAAUAAAAACUCUCCGGAAGCAUCGGAACUCCAGGAAAAGCCUGGGUUUCUCUUUUGUUAUGAAGCUUUUCUGAUGCUGGGUUUAUUUUCAUGGUCCUCAAUGUCCGGAAACCUUCCCGAGGCUCUGUAAUGUCACACGUGGCACAGGAUGUGUGCAUUUGGGCCUGGUUUAAGGGAUUCCGACCUGAAUUAAGGGAUUCCGACCUGAAUUAAGGGAUUUAGACUGGGUUUAAGGGAUUCCGACCUGAAUUAAGGGAUUUAGACUGGGUUUAAGGGAUUCGGACCCGGUUUAAGGGAUUCCGACCUGAAUUAAGGGAUUUAGACUGGGUUUAAGGGAUUCGGACCCGGUUUAAGGGAUUCCGACCUGAAUUAAGGGAUUUAGACUGGGUUUAAGGGAUUCGGACCCGGUUUAAGGGAUUCCGACCUGAAUUAAGGGAUUUAGACUGGGUUUAAGGGAUUCGGACCCGGUUUAAGGGAUUCCGACCUGAAUUAAGGGAUUUAGACCUGGUUUAAGGGAUUCGGACGUGGUUUAAGGGAUUCAGACCCGGUUUAAGGGAUUCCGACCUGAAUUAAGGGAUUCCGAGGUGAAUUAAGGGAUUCAGACCUGGUUUAAGGGAUUUGGACCUGAAUUAAGGGAUUCAGACCUGGUUUAAGGGAUUUGGACAUGGUUUAAGGGAUUCCGGCCUGAAUUAAGGGAUUUAGACCUGGUUUAAGGGAUUCAGACCCGGUUUAAGGGAUUCCGACCUGAAUUAAGGGAUUUAGACCUGGUUUAAGGGAUUCAGACCUGGAUUAAGGAUUUGGAUCUGAUUUAAGGGAUUUGGACCCGGUUUAAGGGAUUCAGACCCGGUUUAAGGGAUUCUGACCUGGUUUAAAGGAUGCCGACCUGGUUUCAGGAUUCAGACCCGAAUUAAGGGAUUCAGACCCGAAUUAAGGGAUUCCGACCUGGUUUAAAGGAUUCCGACCUGGUUUAAGGGAUUCCGACCUGGUUUCAGGGAUUCGGACCCGAAUUAAGGGAUUCCGACCUGGUUUCAGGGAUUCGGACCCGAAUUAAGGGAUUCAGACCUGGUUUCAGGGAUUCGGACCCGAAUUAAGGGAUUCAGACCUGGUUUCAGGGAUUCAGACCCGAAUUAAGGGAUUCAGACCUGGUUUCAGGGAUUCAGACCCGAAUUAAGGGAUUCAGACCUGGUUUCAGCGAUUCUGACCCAAAUUAAGGGAUUCAGACCUGGUUUCAGCGAUUCUGACCCGAAUUAAGGGAUUCAGACCUGGUUUCAGGGAUUCGGACCCGAAUUAAGGCACUUUUCUCCAAAGACCAAGGUGGAAACCAGCCUUGUCCGGGGGCUCGGAACCCUUCGCAAGAGGCAGAGAAACCUUCGCGGGGUUCUGAAGUUCGCGGGGGGGGUUGGUUUUUUUCCCCUUUUUUCCCUCUCUGCUGGGCGGUUUCAACAUCAGAACGCACCGGGAGGAACCCAAAAACCCAGCGCCCCGUCCCGGCUGCGGGGAGGGGGGAGAUCUGCGGAAGGAUCCUGCAACUUUCCCGGUUUUCUUUCAGCACAGCGAGAGGUUCCGUCAUUCGGCGCCGUUAUCCUUUUCCUGCGCGCUCGUGAAAUAAAGAGCUUUUAUCUCUUUGGCUUUCCUCCGA